UGAACGCUGGCGGUAGGCCUAACACAUGCACGUCGAACGGCAGCACAGUAAGAGCUUGCUCUUACGGGUGGCGAGUGGCGGACGGGUGAGGAAUACAUCGGAGUCUACUUUUUCGUGGGGGAUAACGUAGGGAAACUUACGCUAAUACCGCAUACGACCUACGGGUGAAAGCAGGGGAUCUUCGGACCUUGCGCGAUUGAAUGAGCCGAUGUCGGAUUAGCUAGUUGGCGGGGUAAAGGCCCACCAAGGCGACGAUCCGUAGCUGGUCUGAGAGGAUGAUCAGCCACACUGGAACUGAGACACGGUCCAGACUCCGACGGGAGGCAGCAGUGGGGAAUAUUGGACGAUGGGGGCAAGCCUGAUCCAGCCAUACCGCGUGGGUGAAGAAGGCCUUCGGGUUGUAAAGCCCUUUUGUUGGGAAAGAAAAGCAGCAGGUUAAUACCCCGCUGUUCUGACGGUACCCAAAGAAUAAGCACCGGCUAACUUCGUG
rnacentral:rRNA from 1 species